rnacentral:rRNA from 1 species
UGGGGAAUAUUGGACAAUGGGCGAAAGCCUGAUCCAGCCAUGCCGCGUGUGUGAAGAAGGUCUUCGGAUUGUAAAGCACUUUAAGUUGGGAGGAAGGGCAGUAAAUUAAUACUUUGCUGUUUUGACGUUACCGACAGAAUAAGCACCGGCUAACUCUGUGCCAGCAGCCGCGGUAAUACAGAGGGUGCAAGCGUUAAUCGGAAUUACUGGGCGUAAAGCGCGCGUAGGUGGUUCGUUAAGUUGGAUGUGAAAUCCCCGGGCUCAACCUGGGAACUGCAUUCAAAACUGACGAGCUAGAGUAUGGUAGAGGGUGGUGGAAUUUCCUGUGUAGCGGUGAAAUGCGUAGAUAUAGGAAGGAACACCAGUGGCGAAGGCGACCACCUGGACUGAUACUGACACUGAGGUGCGAAAGCGUGGGGAGCAAAACAGGAUUAGAUACCCUGGUAGUCCACGCCGUAAACGAUGUCGACUAGCCGUUGGGAGCCUUGAGCUCUUAGUGGCGCAGCUAACGCAUUAAGUUGACCGCCUGGGGAGUACGGCCGCAAGGUU